UACAGGGGGUGCAAACGUUGCUCGGAAUCAUUGGGCGUAAAGCGCACGUAGGCGGUUCGUUAUGUCGGAUGUGAAAGCCCUUGGCUUAACCGAGGAAGUGCAUCCGAAACUGGCGAGCUAGAGUACGAAAGAGGAUCGCGGAAUUCCCGGUGUAGAGGUGAAAUUCGUAGAUAUCGGGAGGAACACCGGUGGCGAAGGCGGCGAUCUGGGUCGAUACUGACGCUGAGGUGGCGAAAGCGUGGGGAGCAACAGG
rnacentral:rRNA from 1 species